UGCCAGCAACGGCGGUAAUACGUAGGGCGCAAGCGUUGUCCGGAAUUAUUGGGCGUAAAGAGCUCGUAGGCGGCUUGUCACGUCGGGUGUGAAAGCCCGGGGCUUAACCCCGGGUCUGCAUUCGAUACGGGCUAGCUAGAGUGUGGUAGGGGAGAUCGGAAUUCCUGGUGUAGCGGUGAAAUGCGCAGAUAUCAGGAGGAACACCGGUGGCGAAGGCGGAUCUCUGGGCCAUUACUGACGCUGAGGAGCGAAAGCGUGGGGAGCGAACAGGAUUAGAUACCCUGGUAGUCCACGCCGUAAACGGUGGGAACUAGGUGUUGGCGACAUUCCACGUCGUCGGUGCCGCAGCUAACGCAUUAAGUUCCCCGCCUGGGGAGUACGGCCGCAAGGCUAAAACUCAAAGGAAUUGACGGGGGCCCGCACAAGCAGCGGAGCAUGUGGCUUAAUUCGACGCAACGCGAAGAACCUUACCAAGGCUUGACAUCGCCCGGAAAGCAUCAGAGAUGGUGCCCCCCUUGUGGCCGGGUGACAGGUGGUGCAUGGCUGUCGUCAGCUC
rnacentral:rRNA from 1 species